UAACACGUGGGUAACCUGCCUUAUAGUGGGGGAUAGCCUUUCGAAAGGAAGAUUAAUACCGCAUAAGAUUGUAGUAUCGCAUGAUAUAGCAAUUAAAGGAGCAAUUCGCUAUAAGAUGGACCCGCGUCGCAUUAGCUAGUUGGUGAGGUAAUGGCUCACCAAGGCGACGAUGCGUAGCCGACCUGAGAGGGUGAUCGGCCACAUUGGGACUGAGACGCGGCCCAGACUCCUACGGGAGGCAGCAUG
rnacentral:rRNA from 1 species